CCUUCCAAGACCGGACAGACUUAUGUUUGAAACCUGGAAUGCCAUCCCCGACACCUACAUGAACAUGAAGAAAUAUGCCUUUGGAGUCCUGUCGAUCUUCGGAUCCACAUAUGCAUGUGAGCAGCUAUUCUCCACCAUGAACUACAUUAAAAACAAACACCGUACACGCCUCGCAGAUGACAGCUUACAGUCCUGCGUAAAAAUGAAAGUGACUUCGUACAGCCCGGAUUUGCAGACGCUGAGCGCAGAGGUUCAGGAGCAGAAGUCCCAUUAACAAGGUCAAUGCCGCUACAUGCCAAUGUGGCAGUUCUCUCCAGACAGUGGCUCAGGCUUUCUGGCUCUGAGAGGGUGUAAAAGCUUGGAGUGAUCGUCAUCUUGAUUUCCAACUUUUAUUUAAUCACUUAAGUGAUUUGAUCAAGUUCAUUGAUUUAUUGAACAAUUAGAUUUUUUCUUUCUUUCUGCUGAACAGUAAAAAAAAAUCUAGUUUGCUGUAACAUUGGUGUAGGAAUCUACAAUCUGGACUCUGUUCGAAUGAGCAAUGUUUAAUAUAAUUUUUUUUUAAGGAAC